UGGGGAAUAUUGGGCAAUGGGCGAAAGCCUGACCCAGCGACGCCGCGUGGGGGAUGAAGGUCUUCGGAUUGUAAACCUCUGUCGGGAGGGACGAACGCUUCGCGGCUAAUAGUCGUGAAGCUUGACGGUACCUCCAAAGGAAGCCCCGGCUAACUCCGUGCCAGCAGCCGCGGUAAUACGGAGGGGGCAAGCGUUAUUCGGAAUUACUGGGCGUAAAGCGCGCGCAGGUGGCUUGGUAAGUGGCAGGUGAAAUCCCUCGGCUCAACCGAGGAACUGCCUGCCAUACUGCUGAGCUUGAGGCUGGGAGGGGAGAGCGGAAUUCCUGGUGUAGCGGUGAAAUGCGUAGAUACCAGGAGGAACACCGGUGGCGAAGGCGGCUCUCUGGACCAGUUCUGACACUCAUGCGCGAAAGCGUGGGUAGCAAACAGG
rnacentral:rRNA from 1 species